rnacentral:rRNA from 1 species
GUGGGGAAUUUUGGACAAUGGGCGCAAGCCUGAUCCAGCCAUGCCGCGUGCAGGAUGAAGGCCUUCGGGUUGUAAACUGCUUUUGUACGGAACGAAAAGACUCUGGUUAAUACCUGGGGUCCAUGACGGUACCGUAAGAAUAAGCACCGGCUAACUACGUGCCAGCAGCCGCGGUAAUACGAAGGGUGCAAGCGUUAAUCGGAAUUACUGGGCGUAAAGCGUGCGCAGGCGGUUUUGUAAGACAGGCGUGAAAUCCCCGGGCUCAACCUGGGAAUUGCGCUUGUGACUGCAAGGCUGGAGUGCGGCAGAGGGGGAUGGAAUUCCGCGUGUAGCAGUGAAAUGCGUAGAUAUGCGGAGGAACACCGAUGGCGAAGGCAAUCCCCUGGGCCUGCACUGACGCUCAUGCACGAAAGCGUGGGGAGCAAACAGGAUUAGAUACCCUGGUAGUCC